AACGCACAUUGCGCCCUCUGGAAUUCCGGAGGGCACGCCUGUCCGAGCGUCGUCACGCCAAUCGAGCCCCCCCGGGGGCACGGUGUUGGGUGAGGUCAGGGCACUUUAUAGUGCCUGGACCCACCCGCAAAGCGUUGGCGGAGCCCCAGGAGCCCUAGUCGCAGCAAGAAAAAGACGUUUCGACUUGGAGCCUCCUUGGUGGCCCCACGCCCUCACGAACCCCAUCUCUAAGGUUCGACCUCGGAUCAGGCGGGAGUACCCGCUGAACUUAA
rnacentral:misc_RNA from 1 species